GAGUUUGAUCAUGGCUCAGAUUGAACGCUGGCGGCAUGCCUUACACAUGCAAGUCGAACGGCAGCAUGAUCUAGCUUGCUAGAUUGAUGGCGAGUGGCGAACGGGUGAGUAAUACAGUCGGAACGUGCCCUGUAGUGGGGGAUAACUAGUCGAAAGAUUAGCUAAUACCGCAUACGACCUGAGAGUGAAAGUGGGGGACCGCAAGGCCUCAUGCUAUAGGAGCGGCCGAUGUCUGAUUAGCUAGUUGGUGGGGUAAAGGCCCACCAAGGCGACGAUCAGUAGCUGGUCUGAGAGGACGAUCAGCCACACUGGGACUGAGACACGGGCCCAGACUCCUACGGGAGGCAGCAGUGGGGAAUUUUGGACAAUGGGCGAAAGCCUGAUCCAGCAAUGCCGCGUGUGUG
rnacentral:rRNA from 1 species